GUUGAGGGUCGAUGGAAAAAUUAUCUGCUCCCGUCUCCUCAUUCUCAGGCUGUGCAGAAAACAGAAAUAUAGACAGACUGAGGCCAGAAUUCUUCCAUCUCAAUGAGGAACUUCAGACGAAUCCACAGCCACCAACUUGCUCUGAAAACUCUGCUCACAGUUUGAUAGCUGCAAGAAAUUCUACCACAGCCAAAAACAAUUCAGUAUUCAACAACACCUGAAGUCAGAUAACCUGUAGUACAAGACUGCCAAUUCUUUGAGGUUCCCUGACGUAGCAUGGCUAUACAUUUCUUCAUGGAUCCUCCAAUCCCACCUUUCAGGGCAGCAUCCCUCAAGUGCCCAGAUCGUCGACUCUCCUGCUCCUUGGAUGCUGCCUGACUGGCUGUGUUUUUCUAGCAUCACACUCUUCAACUCUGCUCUCCAGCAUCUGCAGUCCUCAUUUUCUCCUAGCACCCCUCAAGGAACUCCAUUGGAGUUCUCCUCUCUCUCCUUGGCAGAAAAUCAAUUAUUUUAGACAUGCUUGUUCUUGCCCAAUGAGGAAUACACAGGAAACACCAGUUUCAAUUUUAUUGAAAUUGGCAAGUGGCAAAGAACAAUCUCAUAUCUGCCAGCCUGCAUCUGAAUGGUAGCAUGCUGUGAAAGUCACGGUCGAAGAACUACCCUCUUUUCACCUCGUGUUACAGGUAAAGACAUUUUCUAAUUCCAAAUGCUGCAGACCAGUUAAAAAGUAAAGAAAAGCAAGGACUCUCUCUCUCUCACCCUGAAUGUUGGAAUUCAAUCAUGGUCGAAAGAUAUCAGAACUACAGAAUUUCAACCAAUGCGCAAGCCGAAGUUCAUGAA